rnacentral:tRNA from 2 species
GAUAAUAGUUAAAUAUAACAUUUGAUUUGCAUUCAAAAAGUGCUGAUUCAUCAGCUUAUCUU